AAUUAGUUUCAAAUCGUUUCAAAGUUGUGUUGUUGUUUUUUUUUUUUUUUUUACAGCACACCGCCUCCAUCCACCCUCAGAUCUGUGCUGACACCUCUACGGCCUCCAUCCAACCUCAGGUCUUCACCUCCACUGCCUCCAUCUGCUAGGCCUACACUUCCACCCCCUCUGGGUAACCUUAGUUUGCCCGAUGUUUCAACCCAUCACCACGUCACCACAUCACCAGAAACCCCUCAAAGACAAAUCAGGGACAUCAUGUUUGUUCGCAUCUUAACACUCCUUGAGGAGAUGAAAGAGACACAAAAAAUCCAAUGGAGGAUGCUACAAAUGCUUGUACAACAGCGUGACAACAUUAGAACCACCGUCUCUUCUACCCCAGAGGGUUUUCCCCUAAAGACAGUUAGGGAUGUGGAAAUCAUGGAAGAAAAACUGGCAAACCCAAACUUCAUGUCCGAACUGGUUGCAGCUGUGACUGACAUGGGGGGGCAACUGUUGACGAGGCCACAAGAAGGAUGAUGACCUUCCUCCUAGACCAUGGCCUAUCCAGGCAGUACAACUUUGUGGGCCGAAACGGGAAGAGAGAGUUCAAGGCCUUAAAACUGUGUGAAGUAAUAUAUGG